rnacentral:misc_RNA from 1 species
AAGUCGUAACAAGGUUUCCGUAGGUGAACCUGCGGAAGGAUCAUUAACACGUAUCCACGUAUCAACCAAUGAGAACCUGUUUUCCCGUCUCCCUGUGCAAAGAAUGAAUUGGAACCAGUUUGAGGGAGUGAUGGGACUGAAAAGUCGGCCUUCCUGGAAUACUUAUGUGAAUAGAAAUAUUCUCAUAGACAAUUGAAUCUUUGUGUCAGGCUAUUUCUUAUCGCUUUGAUCUCCAUCAUGAUCGUGGCGGUAGGGAAACUUUCACUAUAUUUACCGUUUUUGCUAGUUGACUUUUUAUAUGUGUUGUCUUGCGAAAGCUUGGUGGCACACGUUUAUUAAUUGAACGUUAAAAAAUACAACUCUUAGCAAUGGAUAUCUUGGUUCUC